ensembl:lncRNA
CCAAUGGUCUGCCUCUCUAUAGGGCAGCUUCCGAUGUGGAAGGGGCACGACUCUUUCCAGGGUGCGUGAGGCGCUUGCUCCGUUUCAGUACAAGCCCUUCCUCUUGGGAAAAGAGGAAACCGAAGCUCCCCUUUGCGGUGGAUCCAUAUCUAUCUCGGAGGCAAUGGCUUCUACUGCAUGGAUCAGGUCUCUCAGCAGAUUGCUACAAUGCACUCUGCACGGGUCCGUCUUUGGGGACCCAUCUGGAAACUUAAAUCAGUUCAGAAUAUGGUCUGCUACCAUGAGAGCUGUUAACCGGGUGGGGGGGGCUCAGUUUCAGGAAUGUAACCCCUAUAUUGUACCAUCUCCGUCAUUUCUGGGCCCAAUGCAAGGUUCGGACUGAUGUUGCCACGUGACAGACGAGACAUCGGGAAUACAUUUUAACAAACUUUAUUGACUAUCGUAAGAAACUGGAAUACAAUAAAUUCAAAUUGAAAAGCCCAAGUCUACAGGGAUAAUAGAUGAAGAAAUAAUACAAGGAGAAGAACAGCAGACAUAGAGAUGUAACAAAACAGAUCAAUAAACAAAUUAAAAAGAGAAAGCUCAAAGGGAGAGUUAAUCCAGACCGAAGAAUAUUUUUCCAAAAUUAACUCCUUUCAAUUCAGCUGGCCAAGAUGAAGAGAGAGUACAUUUCUGUUCGAGCUAAUACUAUCUGGGUCCUUCUAUAUAUAUAGAGAGAAAAGCCUUACCUUGUUCACAGGUAUCUCAGUCCUUGCUAGCAAUGCCUUUGAGGGUCUGUCCUUCAGUAAUGGGUGGUGGUCUUCAGGUAACAAAGAUCAGAACUUUGCCCCCAUGUAACCACAACUAGCUAAUCCAGAUUUCCAAGCUAACAGCGUUUUCUCCUUCCUUUCCUUAACCUGUGCACAAUCUCUGGUCUUGCAUUUUGCACUCGGCUUUGGCCAACUGAUCUUAACCCUGUAUCAUUUCUUAAAUGAUACAGGAUUAUAACAGGCAAGUUUACAAUAUGGAAGACAGUUGGCUGCUGCCAACAACUCCACUUUUGGUGGGAGUGUGGCAUAGGGUAAACAAACCCAAAAUCUGGCAGAUUAUUUGAAAGUGAUUUUUUUUCUCUGAUUUAGUUCCACAUCAGUUUCAACUAUGAGUGAUUGAGGCCAACUCUUUUUUGCACACCUAGUUCAACAUGGGAUUUUUUUUAAAGUACCGGUAUCCACAUUAUAAAUGCUGAUUUGUAUAUGCAAUGGAGUUAUUAGUAUCACAAUAUUUAUUUAUUGUACCGUAAUCUUAAUACUAGAUGGUUAACCAUACAGCCUACCUCGAAAAACCCACAUCAACAGGAAACUGGAAGAUAAUGAGAGGCAAAUACAAAAUCAAGUCACAUCAACGCUGCAUUCUUACUUGGGGUUGAAGAAAGACAGUAUAUAACAUGAUGGGGGAACUUAAAAAAAUUAUUGUGUUGAUUUUUGUAAAUGCAUCCAGUCUUACAUACUGUACUAUUGGCGUUACCUACUUCAGAGCUUGGGGAUCAGCAAAUAUAUAGUAAUAAAAGGCCCUGUUUCUGUCAUCCUUAGGGACUGGGAGGGUUUAAAGCAAGCAUCCUUAGCAGUAGGUGAAAACUUUGAAACUGCCACUUCCCAGUCUCUUAAAAUAAGGCAGAGUGCAAGCAUAGCUGUCAACGUUUCCCUUUUUUAAAGGGAAAUUCCCUUAUUCCGAAUAGGAUUCCUCGCAAGAAAAGGGAAAAGUUGACAGCUAGGAGUGCAAGAGCCUGGCGCAAAUCAAAAAUUCAUUCCAGAUUUAAGUGUUCUGGAAUUUUAUUAGAUAGGAGAAGGAACAGAAAUGUGUUCCACCAAGAGACAGCUGCUUUGUCAAAUUCAAUGCUUUUGCAAAUAUGGUCAAAAUACAACUGAGAAUAUCAGCCACAACACUACCCAUAUGGUGCUCCUGGUGAUAUCCUAGGGCUUCAUAUUAAGCUACAGGAGGUUAGCGAAACCUGCAACUAUUUGCUGUUUCCCAGCUGUGGAUAACCUUAUCACCUAUACAGUGGUACCUUGGUUUACGAACUUAAUCCGUUCCAGAAUUCUUAAACCAAAGCGUUCUUAAACCAAGGCGUGCUCACUUCCCAUAGCAGUAGGGGACUCAAUAUACAAAUGGAGCACACCCAACAGGAAGCAAAACAUGUUCUGCUUCCAAGGCAAAGUUCACAAACCAAAACACCUACUUCCGGGUUUGCAGCGUUCUUAAUCCAAGUUGUUCAUAAACUAAACCAAGGCACCACUGUAAUGUAGAAAAGUUAGGAAUAAACUUGCAAUACACUGCUGGAAAAGUUAGGAAUAAGCUUGCAAUACACUGUAGCGGAGAUGAUCCGUACUAGGUCUAUAAAAUGGCCAUCAAGACACGGUAUAAAAUUUUCACAACUUGUUAAGGUCAUGCCUAUGGUAAAGCAUUUCUUCUGAGCAUUUCCCUCUGCCUGGGCUCUGCGUUCACAUUUUGAAUGCCACUUCUGCAAUUAUUUACAGCAGCCUUCGCCAACCUGAUGGCUUGGACUCCAAUUCCCAUCAGCCUUCGCAGGCUAGGGCUGAUGGGAGUUGUAGUCCAAAAUAUCUUCAAGGGCAUCAGGUCGGCAAAGGCAUAAACCAGGGAUAGGGAACCUGGUUGGGUCUUGCUAGACUCCCAACUCCUACCAGCCCUGAGCACU